UGGUGAUGAUGAUGAUGAUGAUGAUGAUGAUGACGAUGGUGUCCAUCAACUUACCUCCAUCACUCCACACGAGUACACUACUUGACCUGACUCAAUGGGAUCGAGUAGGCUAUGGUUCACCGUCACCGUCGUCGUCAUUGUCAUCUUCGGUA
rnacentral:pre_miRNA from 1 species